rnacentral:rRNA from 1 species
UACGUAGGGGGCAAGCGUUGUCCGGAUUUAUUGGGCGUAAAGAGCGUGUAGGCGGCCAUUCAGGUCAGCUGUGAAAACUCGAGGCUCAACCUCGAGACGUCGGUUGAAACCGUUUGGCUAGAGUCCGGAAGAGGCGAGUGGAAUUCCCGGUGUAGCGGUGAAAUGCGCAGAUAUCGGGAGGAACACCAAUGGCGAAGGCAGCUCGCUGGGACGGUACUGACGCUGAGACGCGAAAGCGUGGGGAGCAAACAGG